GAUGAACGCUGGCGGCGUGCCUAAUACAUGCAAGUCGAGCGAACAGACGAGGAGCUUGCUCCUCUGACGUUAGCGGCGGACGGGUGAGUAACACGUGGAUAACCUACCUAUAAGACUGGGAUAACUUCGGGAAACCGGAGCUAAUACCGGAUAAUAUAUUGAACCGCAUGGUUCAAUAGUGAAAGACGGUUUUGCUGUCACUUAUAGAUGGAUCCGCGCCGCAUUAGCUAGUUGGUAAGGUAACGGCUUACCAAGGCAACGAUGCGUAGCCGACCUGAGAGGGUGAUCGGCCACACUGGACCUGAGACACGGUCCAGACUCCUACGGGAGGCAGCAGUAGGGAAUCUUCCGCAAUGGGCGAAAGCCUGACGGAGCAACGCCGCGUGAGUUAUGAAGGUCUUCGGAUCGUAAAACUCUGUUAUUAGGUAAGAACAAAUGUGUAAGUAACUAUGCACGUCUUGACGGUACCUAAUCAGAAAGCCACGGCUAACUACGUG
rnacentral:rRNA from 1 species